rnacentral:rRNA from 1 species
CAGGUCAGCAUACUGCCGUGAAUACGUUCCCGGGCCUUGUACACACCGCCCGUCACACCAUGAGAGUUGGGAAUACCCGAAGCCUGUGAGCUAACUUUAGAGGCAGCAGUCGAAGGUAGAAUCAAUGAUUGGGGUGAAGUCGUAACAAGGUAAC